rfam:Ovis aries breed Texel chromosome 3, whole genome shotgun sequence.
UCCCUGGUGGCUCAGAGGUUAAAGCGUCUGCCUCCAGUGCGGGAGACCUGGGUUCGAUCCCUGGGUUGGGAA